CCCUUAGAUGUCCUGGGCCGCACGCGCGCUACACUGAGUGUCUGAGAUACGAGUCUGCCUGGUCCGGCAAGGUCUAGGUAAUCGCUAAAAGACACAUCAUGCUUGGGUUAGAUUAUUGCAAAUAUUAAUCUUGAACGAGGAAUUCCUAGUAAGCGCAAGUCAACAGCUUGCGUUGAUUACGUCCCUGCCCUUUGUACACACCGCCCGUCGCUACUACUGAUUGGAUGUUUAAGCGAGGUUCUCGAACUGCUAGCGACUUAGCUUCGGUGAGGUCGCAGUGUGGGAAGUGAACCUAGCUUUGGUGUCUAGAGGAAGUAAAAGUCGUAACA
rnacentral:rRNA from 1 species